rnacentral:rRNA from 1 species
UCAUCAUGCCCCUUAUGUUCUGGGCUACACACGUGCUACAAUGGCCGGUACAGACGGACGCAAAGCCGCGAGGUGGAGCAAAUCCUAAAAAGCCGGUCUCAGUUCGGAUUGCAGGCUGCAAUUCGCCUGCAUGAAGUCGGAAUCGCUAGUAAUCGCAGGUCAGCAUACUGCGGUGAAUACGUUCCCGGGCCUU